rnacentral:rRNA from 1 species
UAGUCCACGCCGUAAACGAUGGUUACUAGCUGUUCGAUCUUCGGAUUGAGUGGCUAAGCGAAAGUGAUAAGUAACCCACCUGGGGAGUACGUUCGCAAGAAUGAAACUCAAAGGAAUUGACGGGGCCCGCACAAGCGGUGGAGCAUGUGGUUUAAUUCGAUGAUACGCGAGGAACCUUACCAGGGCUUAAAUGUAUUGUGACAGGGGUGGAAACACUCUUUUCUUCGGACACUUUACAAGGUGCUGCAUGGUUGUCGUCAGCUCGUGCCGUGAGGUGUCAGGUUAAGUCCUAUAACGAGCGCAACCCCUGUUGUUAGUUGCCAUCGAGUAAUGUCGGGAACUCUAACAAGACUGCCGGUGCAAACCGUGAGGAAGUGGGGAUGACGUCAAAUCAUCACGGCCCUUACGUCCUGGGGCUACACACGCGCUACAAUGGCCGGUACAGAGGGGCAGCCACUGGGGUGACCAGGGAGCGAAUCCUUAAAAACCGGGUCUCAGUUCGGGAUCGGGAGUCUGCAAC